rnacentral:rRNA from 1 species
UACGGAGGGUGCAAGCGUUGUUCGGAAUCACUGGGCGUAAAGGGCGUGUAGGCGGUCCGCUAAGUCUGAUGUGAAAGCCCGGGGCUCACCCCCGGAAGGGCAUUGGAAACUGGCGGACUCGAGUCUCGGAGAGGAAGGUGGAAUUCCUGGUGUAGCGGUGAAAUGCGUAGAUAUCAGGAGGAAUACCGGUGGCGAAGGCGGCCUUCUGGACGAUGACUGACGCUGAGACGCGAAAGCCAGGGGAGCAAACGGG